GACGAACGCUGGCGGCGUGCCUAACACAUGCAAGUCGAACGGGGUAGUUCCUUCGGGGACUACUUAGUGACGAACGGGUGAGUAACGCGUGAGGAACCUGCCUUUCAGUGGGGGGCAACAGUUGGAAACGACUGCUAAUACCGCAUGAUACUAUCGGGCCGCAUGGUCUGGUAGUCAAAGAUUUAUUGCUGAAAGAUGGCCUCGCGUCUGAUUAGCUAGUUGGUGGGGUAACGGCCCACCAAGGCGACGAUCAGUAGCCGGACUGAGAGGUCGACCGGCAACAUUGGGACUGAGAUACGGACCAGACUCCUACGGGAGGCAGCAGUGGGGAAUAUUGGGCAAUGGGCGAAAGCCUGACCCAGCAACGCCGCGUGAAGGAAGAAGGCCUUCGGGUUGUAAACUUCUUUUACCAGGGACGAACACAAUGACGGUACCUGGAGAAAAAGCAACGUCUAACUACGUGCCAGCCGCCGCAGUAAUAC
rnacentral:rRNA from 1 species